rnacentral:rRNA from 1 species
CCAAUAGCGUAUAUUAAAGUUGUUGCAGUUAAAAAGCUCGUAGUUGAAUUUCGGGAUUGACACAUCGGUCGUGCCUUAAGGGGUAUGAACUGGUGUAGUCAAUUUCUCACCUUCUGGAGAACCGCGAUGCCCUUAAUUGGGUGUCACGGGGAACCAGGACCUUUACUUUGAAAAAAUUAGAGUGUUUAAAGCAGGCAUUUUGCUUGAAUACAUUAGCAUGGAAUAAUAAAAUAGGACGGCAUGAUUCUAUUUUGUUGGUUUCUAGGAUCACCGUAAUGAUUAAUAGGGAUAGUUGGGGGCAUUAGUAUUCAAUUGUCAGAGGUGAAAUUCUUGGAUUUAUUGAAGACUAACUACUGCGAAAGCAUUUGCCAAGGAUGUUUUCAUUAAUCAAGAACGAAAGUUAGGGGAUCGAAGACGAUCAGAUACCGUCGUAGUCUUAACCAUAAACUAUGCCGACUAGGAAUCAGACGAUGUUAAUUUUUUAAUGACUCGUUUGGCACCUUAC